rnacentral:lncRNA from 1 species
GGAAGCGGACUACUAGACGGACCAAGGCAAAAAAAAAAUACGUGGGUCUUAAAACAUGAGGAGGGUCAAAAAAAAAGAGGGGGAAACUGAAUUCUGAGAUGAUAAACACCGAAUCCGUCUCUCUCUCUCCUCGAUGCUCUCUCCCCAAAUCCUGUCGUUUCUCUCCCCGAUUCUGAGUAGUUUUAGGCUGGAUCGCCGGAAGGCCGGAUCCAUCAAUGCUUCUGCCCCUUUACACUUCUGCCCCUUCUCUCCCCAAAUCCUGCCGUUUCUCUCUCCUCGAUUCUGAGCAAUCUCCACAAAUUCCCUCUCUAUCAAAGCGAGUCUGAAACAAUCGAACAGACCUUGUUGUAAACGUAGAGGUAAAGAUUCUAAACAGCUUGCAAGAUAGAGUAAUCUUUUUGAAGAGAGUGAGUGUCGUCAUAAAAUUUAUUUGUUCUAAUUUUAAACCGGUCCCUCUUGUUGUAUUUUUGUUAGAUUUUCUCCUUAUAAGUAUUUUAAUUGUUUUAGCUUACUCUGAUACAUCCAAAGUUGCAUAAAGUUGAUGUUGUUCGAAGAAUUUUGGUGCUAUUCUUUUUUAAGAGUUUAUUUGUUUUAAAUUUUCAUACUAUUUGAACUGGUCUUUAUUUGCUGGUGAAAGCAUCUGGCCCCUAUAUGGUUUCUUGUGAUGGAUAUGAUUGGAUUUUCUAAUUAUGGUAAAAAAAACUUAUAAGUACUUGUAUGUUUUUUCAAUGGACAAACAUUCAAAUGCUAAGUAUGAUCAGGAACAUUUGUGCUGUUCUUGGGAAUAUCUAUUUAUUUAAGGUAGCUGCGCUCUGGUUUUAACUGUUUUUUUAAAUAAUUGCAUUUUGAGACUUCUUGAAUCCACAGUAAUUUUCGAGAAGCAAAUUCUCAGGAAAUAUAUAUGGUUGUUUAUCUUAAAAAUAGGAACUUAUCAAAUAAUAUUUGACAGUUGACUGGUCAAUACAUAAUGAGGUGGGAAGAUAUAUUCGGCAUAAUUCCAUCUGUUAAUCAUUUGUUUGCAGGGUCCUUGUGUAUUUCUGGUCGGGCUAAAGUAGAUAUGAAGCCUGCCCACUGAAUGUUUGAUUAGCGAUAAAUGUUGGACACUUGGACCACAUAAAAACUACACCCUGAGGAAAGUGGCAAGGGGAGAGGUUCAGUGAAAUCAAGUCGGAUUUUUUCAGAAAGUGGCUGAAAGCUAUGUCAAAAAUAGAUCAAAGCUGAGACUUCUCUGCUCUCUCCUCAAACUGUUCAGAUCAAAGCUCAGAUCAAAAUAGAACCUCUGCUUCCAUCCCUCUCUCACACAAUAAAGUAGCAGAUAUAAACCCACCCCUUGUAAUAACCAAGUAUCUGCUGAUGGGAGAUAAAAAGCAGAGUGGCUGCUAUGGCAGAUUUUGGAUGUAAUUUGAUGUAUUUUCUGUUGUGCAAUGUUGUUAAUUUUCUUUUUUUAAAACAGAGGUUAGUUCAUCUAGUAUAACCUGUGUUCUGUGCUAUUAUAUGCCACUGUAUAGCUUGAUGAGGAUGAUUUGUACAUAAAGUAAAUAAACAUGGAUUUUACAAGAAGCAACUUAUCUGCAAUGGUAGUAAAACGGCC